rnacentral:rRNA from 1 species
UACGUAGGUGGCAAGCGUUGUCCGGAUUUAUUGGGUUUAAAGGGUGCGUAGGCGGGGAAUUAAGUCAGUGGUGAAAGCUGGUAGCUCAACUAUCAAAUUGCCAUUGAAACUGAUUUUCUCGAGUACGGUUGAGGUAGCUGGAAUGUAACAUGUAGCGGUGAAAUGCUUAGAUAUGUUACAGAACACCAAUUGCGAAGGCAGGCUACUAAACCGUAACUGACGCUGAGGCACGAAAGCGUGGGGAUCAAACAGG